CCUACGGGAGGCAGCAGUGAGGAAUAUUGGUCAAUGGGCGCGAGCCUGAACCAGCCAAGUAGCGUGAAGGAUGACUGCCCUACGGGUUGUAACCUUCUUUUAUAAAGGAAUAAAGUGAGGCACGUGUGCCUUUUUGUAUGUACUUUAUGAAUAAGGAUCGGCUAACUCCGUUCCGGCAGCAGCGGUAAUACGGGGGAUCCGAGCGUUAUCCGGAUUUAUUUUGUUUAAAGGAAGUGUAGAUGGGUUUUGAAGUCAGUUGUGAAAGUUUGCGGCUCAACCGUAAAAUUGCAAUGGAUACUGGCAGCCUUGAGUACAGUUGAGGUAGGCGGAAUUCGUGGUGUAGCGGUGAAAUGCUUAGAUA
rnacentral:rRNA from 1 species